rnacentral:lncRNA from 1 species
AGUCCCGCGUGGGUCGUACAUGGCGGGGCCGCUCGGCAACCUUGGGGUACCCCCGGCCCUGACACUGCCCCGGGCACCUCCGGGCCCGCCCGUCGGUCGGCUCUGACACCGCACUCGGGUCCCCCGCCCUCUCGGUGAGCCUCCAGCGCCUCCGCCACGCGGUCCCCUUCACCUUCCUCGUCGGUGCAGCCGCAGCCGCCCGCCGUUUGGCUGCUGCUCUCCUGCCUUGGCUCGAACCGUCCCCACCACGGCCGCCCGAGGCCUCCAUCCUCAGCCACCCCUGCACCGGGAGCGGCCGUCACCCCCAGUCUCCCUGCCUGCACCUGGGGCUCCCCACAGCUCGCACCGGGGGCUCUUCCCUGCCCACACCGGCAUCUGCUCCGGGCCCGCUCACGGCUGGAGCCCAGCAGGGACACCCCCGACCCCUCCGUGUGUCACCUCCCUGUCCCGGGGCGGAGGGAGGGCAGAGGAGCCCACGAGUCCCGGGUUCCUGUGGCGAACCCGAGGGAAAAGAGCUGACGGUGAAACAGCAAAACCCGCACAGAAAACUGGGGGAAGGAGGAAUCCAAGGGGAGAACUUUGGGGCGCUGCGGGAUAAACACAGGAGGGCUCUGCUCCCAGGGAACAAGGGGAAACAGCCUCAAGUGGCACCAGGGGAGGUUCAGGUUGGAUACUGGGAAAAUUUCUCCAUGGAAAGGGUUGUCCAGCCCUGGCACAGCUGCCCAGGGCAGUGGUGGAAUCACCAUUUCUGGAGGGAUUUCAGAGCUGUGUGGAUUUGGCACCUGGGGACAUGGGUUAGUGGUGGCCUUCGCAGUGAGUGCUGGGGGAAUGGUUAGACUUGAUCCCAGAGGGCUUUUCCAACCUAAAUUAUUCUCUGUAUUUUGUGAAUCCAGCAGUCUCUUUGCAAUAUAAUUUUCCUGUCUCCAGUUUCCAGACAGUGUUUCCAGCACAAGGACAAACACUCCCAAAGGUUGGUUUUCCCUUCUGACUUCUGCCCAACAGGCAUCUCUGUUUCAUCAUCCUGCAUUUUAAAGUACUGAAGUACAAGUUUGUAUUUAUUUGUCUUUGCAGUUGAUUUGCUUUAAUAAAAUACAUAAAAUUUUUCUUAUAAAAGUUUAA